AGGCAUAUACAGGAGAAUACCUAGCUACAUAGUGAAUUUUUUUUGACUAAUUGACACUACGAAAUUCUGUACAAUUAGUAAUCCUGCACACGUCCCAAUACAGGUCUUACCAUAAAUUUGUAGAACAGAAAGUUCCAAGUGCAAGCCCAUUUCAAAUAUUUGGAACAAUAAGUUUCAAACAUUUUGUGUUUCUAGGUAGACCUUUAGUUUGUUGGCUGCACAUAGCUCUGUAGUUUGACAAUAGCUUGAUCCUGCAACCAAAAGAAAAUAAGGCUCAAACAAACAUCCAAUUAUUUGCUUCUUGGAUUCAGCCAUCCCAUAACAAAUCAUUUUUUGAAUUAAUUUAAACAAAAUGGAACUGACAGCAUGACAAAACUAUUUAUGAAGUGAAAAAAGUAGGCAAUUCCUUUUAACAAUAUAAUAAGUCAAAGCUGAUUUAAAAUGACUCCUUCAUUAGUAGAAUUACAGAUGAAAUGGGAAUAUACUGAUAGCAGUAAAAUAGUGUAGUGUAAUUAGAGUAAUCUUUAAAAUUGCAUGCAUAGGGACAAAGGUUAAACAAAACAUGAUAAUCUAAUAUGAUAAAUAAACAAGAAAGAUACUAAUAAGGAAUAUAAAAACAAUAACCAUUUUUAAGUAGGUUCAUUAGUCAUACUGUUUUUUGUUUUUCAUUUUUUUUAUAUUAGAUUUCUAUUACAAUUUUGCAUUCAUUUUUUUUCCAACAUUGCAUAUUCUACUAAAAGUACUAUGCCAAUGGAGUUUAGUCUAACUGACCAACAUGUUGUUGCAAUUUCAACUUCAUCAGUUGGAAAUGGUAUAUGACUUUUUUUUUCAAUUUUAAUUUCAUGCAAACAAAUCCAUGUCAUGUUUCUCUUUGUUAUCAAAUGACAGGAGUUGAACAAUUCUGCACAUAAUAUUAAGCAGUGCAAAUAUAUUCAACAAUUUAUUGAUGUACUACAAUCUAUAGGAAGAACAAUAUUGAAUUUCCAUAAUGCAAAAUAUGAAAAACAACCUCAACAAUUAGGUUAGAUUUGGUCUUCAAUUGGUAAAUUAUAUUACUUAUGUAUUAGUAACAGGAAAAUCAUGGUACUUGUAGUCCAUGCAAGAUUUCUGGCAUUGGAAGCUUAGGAAAAUAUGCAAGAUCAACAAAUCCAACCUCCUCGGCCCUUUUAGCAGCAUCCUCAGUUUGUAAACAGAAAAAGUUUAAAAGGAGAAAUAUUAUUCUAUAUAACUACAACACAACAAUAUCUGAGAAACAUAUUUUUGAAGCAAGAUUAGUACUCUCAACUGCAACACAACAAUAAAAUGUAAAAUCAAUUUUUCCUUAAAUUGUAUCAUAUAAUAAUUAUAGUUCGUGAUAAUUUACAAUAAAUCAGUAUGUCCAUGCAUUGCACAAGCUCUAAUACUAGUAGUAUACAAUAGUUGGUUAACAUUUAUAAGGGUUGCGAGAAAGAUAUCUAAUUAUUAGGAUAUUUAUGUGCUUAGAAGGGAUAAUGGACUUUUCGUAGUUAAAGAGAUAUUAUUCUAAGACCCUAAACCUUCUUAACACCAUAGGUUAGAAAGUGCUUAAGGAUAGUUUUGUGAAUAAAAUAUUUCAUAAGACUUGAAAGUAGAAACUUCGAAGGACCAAUUCAUAAGUUUAAAUAACGAAUGUUAUGAAAUGGCGGAUGACAAAAAUUGGUUGUAUGUAGGUGUCUUAGCUUCUUCUUGGUAAACCUCCUACCUGGUUGUUGGUGGUGGAGAGCAUAUAAGCUUGAGGCCGACCAUGGAUAAUUAUGGUGGGUAUGGAGAUCCCGUACUCCUUACUACAAGAGUAAUAACUAAGCACUCCACCCUGGAAAUCUUCAUUGAGUUGUUGAUAUUGAUGUGUUUAUAAAGUUGUUGAUGAUGCUCCAUGGACAUUGUUG
rnacentral:lncRNA from 1 species